rnacentral:lncRNA from 1 species
UUGACGGCAGACUAUUCCUAACGAUUGUAUCAAUGGCGCCAAGUUGCCUCGUUGACGGAAAUUGCCAAUUCCCGUCAACGACCAGCGAACCAAAAGUGUAGCAUGUAGCAGCAGUGUAAUGAGCAAUAGCAGCGGCAAGGAACAGAAGUAGUGACAGCAGUAGCAAGUAGCAACAGUAGCAAGUGACAGUAGUAGCAACAGUAGCAGCAGAGCAAGACAAGUAACAGCAGUAGCAACAGUAGUAGCAGCAGCAGCAGAGCAAGACAAGUAACAGCAGUAGGACAAACUCGUAGGCAAUGGGUCGGUGAUUUGUUUGGAUGAUAUUCGUCAUGCAACAGCUAUAACACGGAGAGAUAUGUGGCUAGCUCCCAUUCGUCAAUGUGAUGUAGGCAUGCAUUCUGUGUGUCGUCAUACAUGCUUAGGAAAAAGAACUUGCAUGACAUCUAUUGUCCAUCCCUCCCGUGGCAGCGGGGUCCAAAAGGAAACUACGGGAUAUUAAGG